AUUGAACGCUGGCGGCAUGCCUAACACAUGCAAGUCGAACGGUAACGCGAGGAGCUUGCUCCUUGGCGACGAGUGGCGGACGGGUGAGUAAUGCUUGGGAAUCUACCCAGUAGUGGGGGACAACAUUCGGAAACGGAUGCUAAUACCGCAUACGCACUACGGUGGAAAGCGGGGGAUCUUCGGACCUCGCGCUAUUGGAUGAGCCCAAGUCGGAUUAGCUUGUUGGUAGGGUAAUGGCCUACCAAGGCGACGAUCCGUAGCUGGUCUGAGAGGACGAUCAGCCACACUGGGACUGAGACACGGCCCAGACUCCUACGGGAGGCAGCAGUGGGGAAUAUUGGACAAUGGGCGCAAGCCUGAUCCAGCAAUGCCGCGUGUGUGAAGAAGGCCUGCGGGUUGUAAAGCACUUUCAGUAGAGAAGAAAAGCCUGAGGUUAAUACCCUCGAGUCUUGACGUAACCUACAGAAGAAGCACCGGCUAACUCCGUG
rnacentral:rRNA from 1 species